UACGGGGGCAAGCGUUGUUCGGAAUUACUGGGCGUAAAGGGCUCGUAGGUGGCCAACUAAGUCAGACGUGAAAUCCCUCGGCUUAACCGGGGAACUGCGUCUGAUACUGGAUGGCUUGAGUUCGGGAGAGGGAUGCGGAAUUCCAGGUGUAGCGGUGAAAUGCGUAGAUAUCUGGAGGAACACCGGUGGCGAAGGCGGCAUCCUGGACCGACACUGACACUGAGGAGCGAAAGCCAGGGAGCAAACGGG
rnacentral:rRNA from 1 species